ACAGAAAUCAGAAUUGCAGAAUGGAGUUGUGUAGCCCAGAAAGAAUUGAGGGAGGGGAGAGAUGGGGAGUUUGUUCAAAGGGCUGUUGCCCCUCUCCCUUCCCUAUGAUCCCAUCAAACGCCCCAUAAACAGCCCUUUGAUCUUUCUUUCAUCUUGAAAGAAAGAAAACAAGAAAAAAAAAAUAAAAGAAAACAAGAAACAGCAAAGAAAAGCAGGAAAAGGUUAAUUUUAAUUCCGUGUUUGGUUUGGGGAAAGUUCAGGGGAAUUUUCUGUUUUCAAAACCACAAGGAUUCGUCGUCCUCUGUCGUUCUUUCUGAUCUUUGAAACUGCGCCUUAAUUAUGGAAUGUAGUAUGUACCUGAUGAGAGGCUGUGAUGAUGGAGAUUUCUGCUCUGUUUUUUUCUCUAUUUUCUGGGCUACUAAUUUCAGGGUAUCCGGGAUGAUCCGACCCGUAUCUUGGCGGGGCAAUCCGGUGAUUUGCAGCCAUGGCGGCGCCGGCUUCCCGUUGCCCGGUUGAGAAACAGAUCUGAGCCUCAUCAAAAUUAGUUUUCUUCACUGCGAUUCUCUGCUUUCAUUUUUCACCCUUCUGAAUUUCUGCUUGAAUGAGGUUUUGACAGAGAUGUAAGUUUUACCUGUAUAGGGUUUGCGUCUCUGAUAAUUCCAUGAUCUCUCUCUCUAUAUAUAUAUAUGGUUCUUAGGUUAUCUUUAUCCUGCAACUCUCUCGCACUCUCAAACUGCAGCAUAUUUGCAACAAUGAUUUAUGGGGCUAUGAUGAUAAUUGGUUUGAAGAGAAUAGGGUGUUGGGAUGAUUAGGCCUGUAUCUUGGUAGGGCAAACCCUGAGCAGUUGUGACUGUUUGUCACAUUGCAGUCUGGGAUUUGCAGCCAUGGCAGUGUCAACAAGUUUCAGUACCUGAUCAAAUGUUGAUAUGAGCCUCAAUACACAUUGUAUGUGAAUGUUUCUUUUUUUUUUUUUGGAUGAGUGUUUUUUUUGUGGGAUGAGAAGGAAAACCUGAGACAGGUGUGGAAAACCAGCUUAAAUUGUUCAUAGCUGAUCGGCUCAAAGAAGGCCAAUAGGCCGUUCCCCGAACUUGUAACCUUGUGGUGUUACCAAUUCAACAUAUUUGCAAAUGAUUUAUGGGGCUAUGAUGAUAAUUGGUUUGAAGAGAAUAGGGUAUUGAGAUGAUUAGGCCUGUAUCUUGGCUAGGCAAACCCUGAUCAGUUGUGACUAUUUGUCACAUUGCAAUCUGGGAUUUGCAGCCAUUGCAGUGUCACCAAGUUUCAAUACCUGUCAGAUGUUUAUAUGAGCCUCAAUACACAUUGUGUGUGAAUGUUUUGUUUUGUUUUGUUUUGUUUUGGGGGGAUGAGGAGGAAAACCAACCUCCUAUGAGAAUGAUUUUUGCUUGAAAUUUUAGUAUGAUCACAUUGCAAUAGCUCUGUAAAAUCCAUGGCUGCUCUGCAUGACUGUAAGUCCAUCCAUCUUUACCAGAGAAAACUCACUACAGGAAAGACAUUCAAGUGCCAUAUUUGUUUAAGCUUUAGACAACCAAAAAGUGACAUUAUUUGCAUUUGGUAUGCCUCACCUCACACACACUCUUAGAAGUAACUGCUACAACACACACAAAGUUCAAAAUUGAGUACAGAUGAUAUCAUGAACCACAUCACACCUUGCUAUGUAUGUCUGUCGAGUCGUGGAAAGCUGGAAGGAAGAAACGAGGCUCUGCAGCCAUCAGCAGGAUUACUAGACUGCCUUCUUCCAAUUACCCUCAACUCCAUUUUCAAUCUAACAUCAACUCUACAGUGGGGUUGUAGCCUAGAAACUCAAAAGGAAGUGAGGCAGGAGAUAUGGGAGUUUUCUUCAGAGUGUUGCUAUCUUACCUUUCUAUUCUAUGCUAAUGACACUUGUCCAUUUUCAUCUAAGAACACCAAGCUGCCCUUUCAUCAAUUUUUCUUUGAGCAGAGAAGAAAGGAGAAGUAAAAAAGAGUAUGUAUUAAUUUUGCAGUUAUGUGCAAAUUUUAUUCAUUUUGUUGAAAUAUCAUUUAGAGGCUUUCUCAAGAUUUGGUUGUGGAAUUACCCUAGCAUUGGACUUGAUGUAAAUUUGCAAGCAAUUUUCUGUAUUUACAGUUGAAUCAAUGAACUGAGUUUCACCUUCCCCUUCCA